CCGGACCCGGGCGCCCCAGGCGUAAUCCCUGGGGAGCAACCAGGCAUCUUCCUCCACGCACUUGGACUCAGGCUUUCGAUGCCCAUGGGCAAGUGUGCAGUUUUCCAAGCCCUCGGCCCAAGAAGAGACUUCUUGUUUUCACAAUACUGGUUUCCCUGGUGUGACAUGGAGGAAGUGUGACAGCGAGGAAGUGGCAGGGCGGGCAGGGAACCUGAGGGCUGCAGGCUCCUAUUCCUCCGUGAGAAGCCAAGUGAAUAAAACCCGCGUUCUACAACGGGAGUGAAAAGUUAAUCAAAAUCGGCAAGAAGCACAGAAAUCGAGUUGCUUGAAAAUCUCUGUCUUCCCGAGGGCCCAGCUGGCCACCGUGGAGCCUCCGUGAGCAGCAGAAAGGUGCCGUUUCCUCUGGCGUCAGCCGACCCUCCCCUGCCUGGGGGGGCCUCGCCAGCACAACACACGCGAGUCCAUUUCAAGAUGAGGAGAGUGAAGACAAAGAUGACGACCCUGACCGAGGUCACCCAGGGGAGAAGUGGCACAGACAGGACUCGCACCCAAGAGCCCGAUGUCACAGCCCGUGCUCUGCGUCACACAGAACAAGUGGCCCCUCGGGGCUCUGUGUGCAGCCACUGAGAGUCACCCACUGAGGCCAAUUCCAGGACGUGACAAACCACACGGCGAGGAGAGAAAAAGCAAGCAGGCUAGGAAACGGGCGAUGUUGCUUCCAAUUCUCUCACACACAUGCGAAAAGAUACCCCAGAGACGUAUACUAAAAAGCUAGCAGUGGUUACUGUUGAGAAGAAAAAUUAAAGUUGACUUUUAUUAUGUUU